GUUAUAUGCAGUGGAAACGUGGAGUUACAUUUGCUGCAACAGUGCAUAGCUCGUGCCCUGACCCUUGAUAACAGAGUGUGCAGAUUUUCCCUUGUGCUUUCUGACUGCCCAGGAGACAUUGCAAAGUUACUGGAGAUUCUGGCUCGGGAGGAAGCAAGAGUAUUGGAUAUCAAACAAGAACACUUAUUUGUGACAUCUGAGCUCUUCACUGUUGAGGUCACCUGCAUUGUAGAGACUAGAGACAAAAUCCACACAGCUCAGCUGAGAAAUGCCCUCCUGGAACGCUACCCUGCAGCAAAGUGGACUGAACGGUGAUGAACAAAGCAUUAGGGAAAGUGCUGUGGCUCUUUGACAAAUAUUUCACAGAGCACUAACCUAGAGGCAUUCAGAACAAACAUUACCUUUCAAAAGUGAAAAGUUAGCAAAUAGUUUCAGGAUAUUUAUUUGCUGUUCGAAAUGUAGUGAGCGUCCUUGGGAAUAAAGUUAAACUUGAAACUUUAGCUUAGCCAAGGGAAAUUUUAUAGUGUCUACUAAUGUUGGAGUUCAGUAAUGCAUUAUCAGCUGGCUAUUUGGAUUUUGACAGGUAUGUAGAAUCUAAUGGCAUUCAAUAAAUAAAUAGGGAGAAGGUAUUUUUCUUUGUAUCUGAAUAUAGACCUCUGAAAGGUCUUUUGAUUUUGAUGCCCCGAGUUAAAGUAAUGCAGCUCCUUCUGCUGGAAUUUGCCGUGUUACUACUAUAGUCAUUUUAAAUUCUCAAGCCAGAAGCAGCUCUUCAUUUGCUGAAUUUGCUUCAGGAGGGAUGGGUGAGUGUGUGUAUGCUCGUGCGUGUGUGUGCGUGAGCAAGAUCUUUGCUAUCAUGUUGAAAAAUAUUAAUAAAAUACAAUUUUAAAAAAAACUUGGAAAAUGAAAACCAAUACUGCAGGGUUUUUUUCCUGAGGGAAGAUGAUUCUAUGUAUAAAGUAAGGUUCCAGAAGAUGUUGCAGCUAUAAAAAACAUACUCUGAAUAUAAUUAGAUCUCAUAUGCAGAACACAAAUGCAAUUCUUCCCUCUGCUUUUGGACAUUCAGUAUAACCAGCAGCAUAUAGAAUGGCUAUUUUCCUUUAUAAAAAGGGGUUUCUCCACUCAUGUGAAUUUUGUGAUUAGCAUUCCACCGAUCGUCUUAGUCUGCCUAAAACAGGGUCUAUCCAUCUCACCUGACAGCUUAAGUGCAAUGUUAAGAGUGAAAUAUAUUUAAAGACCACAUGUUAAUAGGCAAAGGCAGCUCCAGGAGAAGAGGAAGCCUCAGUCUUAGGCAAGUGGCUAAUGCAAUUAAGAAAGAACAGGUUGACCUGAAUACCAUUUUCAUCACUAGAGACAGAGGCCUACUAAUAAGGUAAUACAGUGGGAUGGCAAGGGAUAUAAGAAAAACUCAGGCCCACUUCUAAGUGUACAUAGCUCAGACGCCUUUCCACUUGAGCAAAAUUCAAUUUAAGGUCAGCUGCAGGAGAGCCAAUAUAAACCAUUGCACUUGUUAAAUUUAAGCAGGGUUGCCUCAAAUUUUGGUUGUGGGUAUUUUAAUGAGCAGUCCUAAUCCUGUCUCUAGAACAUCAAGUCGAAAAUUAAAUACAGAAAAUAGAGAAGUAUUUAACAGUGCCCUAGCAGAGCCCAGUCCAAAGUUCAGUAAAGUCAGAGGAAAUGUUUCCACAGGCUGCAUCUGAGGUCCCACGUGCAGAGCUGGGUGAGCUGCAUUGUUAAGCGUCUGUGAAGUUGAACUGUUAUUAUAGCUUUUGGUGAGAAAGAUGCUGCAAGCCUAUAAUGACUCUCUGUUGCUUCCGUAUUAUGAUUUAUAAAUGGAGCUGCCAUAUUUGACCCCCCUCUGUAGUUAGGAAUGUCCUUGCUAAUAUGUUUCCUUUUGUGGUUUUACAGUGUAACAUUUCUGUCUCUAGAGCACAAUCCCUUUCAAAAUCACAGGUGGAAGAGUGGAGGCUCUCAUGGUGGGGGGGGUACAGCUUUCUCUGCCCCCUUGUGAUUUUAGUCCAAUUGUAGGCUAGAAAGAGUAUUAUGUAAAGCAUUACAGCAACUUAAUCGGAGGAUCCCUAUGG